CCUACGGGUGGCAGCAGUGGGGAAUAUUGGACAAUGGGGGCAACCCUGAUCCAGCCAUGCCGCGUGUGUGAAGAAGGCCCUCGGGUUGUAAAGCACUUUCAGUGAGGAAGAACGCCUGGUGGUUAAUACCCAUCAGGAAAGACAUCACUCACAGAAGAAGCACCGGCUAACUCCGUGCCAGCAGCCGCGGUAAUACGGAGGGUGCGAGCGUUAAUCGGAAUUACUGGGCGUAAAGCGCGCGUAGGUGGCUUGAUAAGCCGGUUGUGAAAGCCCCGGGCUCAACCUGGGAACGGCAUCCGGAACUGUCAAGCUAGAGUGAAGGAGAGGAAGGUAGAAUUCCCGGGGCAGCGGUGAAAUGCGUAGAGAUCGGGAGGAAUGCCGGUGGCGAAGGCGGCUUUCUGGACUGAAACUGACACUGAGGUGCGAAAGCGUGGGGAGCAAACAGGAUUAGAUAUCCCGGUAGUC
rnacentral:rRNA from 1 species